CGGGGUGUAGCUCAGCUUGGCUAGAGCGCUUGCUUUGGGAGCAAGAGGCCCAGGGUUCAAAUCCCUGCGCCCCGA
rnacentral:tRNA from 1 species